UACAGAGGGGGCAAGCGUUGUUCGGAAUUACUGGGCGUAAAGGGCGCGUAGGCGGUCCGCCAAGUCCGGGGUGAAAUCUUUCGGCUUAACCGGAAAAUUGCCUCGGAUACUGGCGGUCUAGAAGAGGGUAGGGGCCGCGGGAACUUCCAGUGGAGCGGUGAAAUGCGUUGAUAUUGGAAGGAACGCCGGUGGCGAAAGCGCGCGGCUGGACCCUCCUUGACGCUGAGGCGCGAAAGCUAGGGUAGCGAACGGG
rnacentral:rRNA from 1 species